rnacentral:rRNA from 1 species
UACGGAGGGUGCAAGCAUUAAUCGGAUUUAUUGGGCGUAAAGGGCGCGUAGGCGGAUACAUAAGUCAGGUGUGAAAUUUCGGGGCUCAACCCCGAAGCUGCAUUUGAAACUGUGUGUCUUGAGGGUAGGCGGAGAAAAUGGAAUUCCACAUGUAGCGGUGAAAUGCGUAGAUAUGUGGAAGAACACCUGUGGCGAAAGCGGUUUUCUAGCUUAUUCCUGACGCUGAGGCGCGAGAGCAAGGGGAGCAAACAGGAUUAGAUACCCUGGUAGUCCUUGCCGUAAACGAUGUAUACUUGGUGUAGUUGGGCUCAACCCUGACUGUGCCGUAGCUAACGUGUUAAGUAUACCGCCUGGGGAGUACGCUCGCAAGAGUGAAACUCAACAGAAUUGACGGGGGCCCGCACAAGCAGUGGAGCAUGUGGUUUAAUUCGAUGCAACGCGAAGAACCUUACCCAGGUUUGACAUGCAGUAGACAGUACUAGAGAUAGUACCUCCCGCAAGGGCUGCUGCACAGGUGCUGCAUGGCUGUCGUCAGCUCGUGCCGUGAGGUGUUGGGUUAAGUCCCGCAACGAGCGCAACCCUUGUCAUUAGUUACCAGCGAGUAAGGUCGGGGACUCUAAUGAGACUGCCCAGGUUAACUGGGAGGAAGGUGAGGAUGACGUCAAGUCCGCAUGGCCUUUAUAUCUGGGGCUACACACGUGCUACAAUGGUCGGUACAGAAGGCAGCUAAGCCGAAAGGUGGAGCAAAUCCGGAAAGCCGAUCUCAGUUCGAAUUGUAGUCUGCAACUCGACUACAUGAAGUUGGAAUUGCUAGUAAUGGCGUGUCAGCAAUAACGCCGUGAAUACGUUCUCGGGCCU